GAUACGAGAUCAUCAUCUAACAAGGAUCUAGAUCCAGACCCAAAAUCCAUGUGAUGGAUCUAGAUCGUGGAUCUAGAUACUACCCAACACUGGGUGCAGUUUAUUAAUUUAAGAAUUCCUGUUUUAAAACCUAUGGGGAUGAUCUCGUGUCGCAGCCAACGAAGAAAUUCAGGCAAGUUGACCAGAAGGACGGUGAAAACUUUACCCUUAUUUGCUUAUGAAUAUUCAAUUUAAUGUAAAAUAACCACCCUUUCUCUAUUUUUAGGGGGAUGAUCUCGUGUCGCAGCCAACGAAGAAAUUCAGGCAAGUUGACCAGAUGGACGGUGAAAACUUUACCCUUAUUUGCUUAAUAAUAUCCAAUUUAAUGUAAAAUAACCACCCUUUCUCUGUUUUUAGGGGGAUGAACUCGUGUCGCAGCCAACGAAGAAAUUCAGGCUAGUUGACCAGAAAGACGGGGGAUGAACUCGUGUCGCAGCCAACGAAGAAAUUCAGGCUAGUUGACCAGAAAGACGGUGAGAACUUUACCCUUAUUUGCUUAAUAAUAUUCAAUUUAAUGUAAAAUAACGACCCUUUCUCUGUUUUUAGGGGGAUGAACUCGUGUCGCAGCCAACGAAGAAAUUCAGGCUAGUUGACCAGAAGGACGGUGAAAACUUUACCCUUAUUUGCUUAAUAAUAUUCAAUUUAAUGUACAUUAACCACCCUUUCUCUGUUUUUAGGGGGAUGAUCUCGUGUCGCAGCCAACGAAGAAAUUCAGGCAAGUUGACCAGAAGGACGGUGAAAACUUUACCCUUA